rnacentral:tRNA from 9 species
GCCCGAAUGGCGGAAUGGUAGACGCGCUAGCUUCAGGUGCUAGUAAUUAUUACGAUUGUGGAAGUUCAACUCUUCUUUCGGGCA